ACUGGGACUGAGACACGGCCCAGACUUCUACGGAAGGCAGCAGUGGGGAAUUUUCCGCAAUGGGCGAAAGCCUGACGGAGCGACGCCGCGUGGGUGAAUAAAUUCUUCGGAAUGUAAAGCCCUGUCAGUAGGGAAGAAAAAAUGACGGUACCUACAGAGGAAGCAUCGGCUAACUACGUGCCAGCAGCCGCGGUAAUACGUAGGAUGCGAGCGUUGUUCGGAAUUACUGGGCGUAAAGAGUACGUAGGCGGUGUUGAAAGUUUGAUAUUAAAGACUGGGGCUCAACUUCAGGAGUGUAUCAAAGACUUCAACGCUAGAGAUUAAUAGGGGAAGUUGGAAUUCUCAGUGUAGUGGUGAAAUGCGUAGAUAUUGGGAAGAACACCAGUGGCGAAAGCGAACUUCUGGGUUAAAACUGACGCUGAGGUACGAAAGCGUGGGGAGCGAACGGGAUUAGAUACCCCGGUAGUCCACGCGGUAAACGAUGGAUACUAGAUGUAGCAGGUCUCGACCCCUGCUGUGUCGUAGCAAACGCGAUAAGUAUCCCGCCUGGGGAGUAUGGCCGCAAGGUUGAAACUCAAAGGAAUUGACGGGGGCCCGCACAAGCGGUGGAGGAUGUGGUUUAAUUCGACGCAACGCGAAGAACCUUACCAAGGCUUGACAUAUAAGAGAUUGUUUAGAGAUAGACAAGUGCCAGAAAUGGAAUCUUAAUACAGGUGGUGCAUGGCUGUCGUCAGCUCGUGUCGUGAGAUGUUGGGUUAAGUCCCGCAACGAGCGCAACCCUCGAUGUUAGUUGCCAACAGGUAAUGCUGGGGACUCUAACAUGACUGCCGGUGACAAAUCGGAGGAAGGUGAGGACGACGUCAAGUCAGCAUGCCCCUUACGCCUUGGGCUACACACGUCCUACAAUGGCAGGGACAAAGGGCCGCAAAACUGCGAAGUAGAGCGAAUCCCAUAAACCUUGUCUAAGUUCGGAUUGCAGGCUGCAACUCGCCUGCAUGAAGUCGGAAUCGCUAGUAACUGUAGAUCAGCAUGCUACAGUGAAUACGUUCCCGGGCCUUGUACACACCGCCCGUCACACCACGAAGGUUUGUCAUACCCGAAGCCUGUGGGCUAACCGCAAGGAGGCAGCAGUCUAAGGUAGGGCAGAUGAUUGGGGUGAAGUCGUAACAAGGUAGCCGUACUGGAAGGUGCGGCUG
rnacentral:rRNA from 1 species